rnacentral:tRNA from 1 species
GCUCCGGUGGUGUAGCCCGGCCAAGCAUUCGGGCCUUUCGUAAAGCCCCUUUAGAAAGGUGCUUUACCUCUAAAGGGGCACCGGGCUUUAAAGAAAGCCCGUGACCCGGGUUCAAAUCCCGGCCGGAGCA